rnacentral:misc_RNA from 1 species
GAUGAAGAACGUAGCGAAAUGCGAUACUUGGUGUGAAUUGCAGAAUCCCGUGAACCAUCGAGUCUUUGAACGCAAGUUGCGCCCGAAGCCAUUAGGCCGAGGGCACGCCUGCCUGGGCGUCACACGUCGUUGCCCCCCCAUCUACUCCUUCGGGAUUGCGGGGGGCGGAUGAUGGCCUCCCGUGCGCCUCGUCGCGCGGUUGGCAUAAAUGCCAAGUCCUCGGCGACACACGCCACGACAAUCGGUGGUUGCGAAACCUCGGUUGCCCGUCGUGUGCGGUCGUCGCGCAUCGAGGGCUCGAAAAAAUUGCCGGGCUCCGGCUCGGCUUUCAACGCGACCCCAGGUCAGGCGGGGUUACCCGCUGGAUUUAAGCAUAUCAAUAAGCGGAGGA